rnacentral:rRNA from 1 species
AUUGAACGCUGGCGGCACGCCUAACACAUGCAAGUCGGGCGCGCGGCGGACGGGUGAGUAAUGUAUGGGGAUCUGCCUGAUGGCGGGGGAUAACUACUGGAAACGGUAGCUAAUACCGCAUACCAUCAGAUGAACCCAUAUUGGAUUAGCUAGUAGGUAAGGUAACGGCUUACCUAGGCGACGAUCCCUAGCUGGUCUGAGAGGAUGAUCAGGCAGACUGGGACUGAGAAACGGCCCAGACUCCAACGGGAGACAGCAGUGGGGAAUAUUGCACAAGGGGCGGAAGCCUGAUGCAGCCAUGCCGCGUGUAUGAAGAAGGCGUUCGGGUUGUAAGGUACUUUCAGUCGGGAGGCGUUACCGACAGAAGAAGCACCGGCUAACUCCGUGCCAGCCGCCGGGGUAAUAG